rnacentral:rRNA from 1 species
AUUGAACGCUGGCGGAAUGCUUUACACAUGCAAGUCGGGCGGCAGCGCGGGGGCAACCCUGGCGGCGAGCGGCGAACGGGUGAGUAACACAUCGGAACGUACCCUAUCGUGGGGGAUAGCUCGGCGAAAGCCGGAUUAAUACCGCAUACGACCUGAGGGUGAAAGCGGGGGAUUGGUAACGACCUCGCGCGACUGGAGCGGCCGAUGGCGGAUUAGCUAGUUGGUGGGGUAAAGGCCUACCAAGGCGACGAUCCGUAGCGGGUCUGAGAGGACGGCCCGCCACACUGGGACUGAGACACGGCCCAGACUCCUACGGGAGGCAGCAGUGGGGAAUUUUGGACAAUGGGCGCAAGCCUGAUCCAGCCAUUCCGCGUGAGUGAAGAAGGCCUUCGGGUUGUAAAGCUCUUUCGCAAGGGAAGAAAACGUUAAUCCUCUAACAUAGGAUGAGGUUGACGGUACCUUGAUAAGAAGCACCGGCUAACUACGUGCCAGCAGCCGCGGUAAGAGUACUCU